rnacentral:rRNA from 1 species
AAAUUGAAGAGUUUGAUCAUGGCUCAGAUUGAACGCUGGCGGCAGGCCUAACACAUGCAAGUCGAACGGUAACAGGAAGCAGCUUGCUGCUUUGCUGACGAGUGGCGGACGGGUGAGUAAUGUCUGGGAAACUGCCUGAUGGAGGGGGAUAACUACUGGAAACGGUGGCUAAUACCGCAUAAUGUCGCAAGACCAAAGAGGGGGACCUUCGGGCCUCUUGCCAUCAGAUGUGCCCAGAUGGGAUUAGCUUGUUGGUGAGGUAACGGCUCACCAAGGCGACGAUCCCUAGCUGGUCUGAGAGGAUGACCAGCCACACUGGAACUGAGACACGGUCCAGACUCCUACGGGAGGCAGCAGUGGGGAAUAUUGCACAAUGGGCGCAAGCCUGAUGCAGCCAUGCCGCGUGUAUGAAGAAGGCCUUCGGGUUGUAAAGUACUUUCAGCGGGGAGGAAGGUGUUGUGGUUAAUAACCGCAGCAAUUGACGUUACCCGCAGAAGAAGCACCGGCUAACUCCGUGCCAGCAGCCGCGGUAAUACGGAGGGUGCAAGCGUUAAUCGGAAUUACUGGGCGUAAAGCGCACGCAGGCGGUCUGUCAAGUCGGAUGUGAAAUCCCCGGGCUCAACCUGGGAACUGCAUUCGAAACUGGCAGGCUUGAGUCUUGUAGAGGGGGGUAGAAUUCCAGGUGUAGCGGUGAAAUGCGUAGAGAUCUGGAGGAAUACCGGUGGCGAAGGCGGCCCCCUGGACAAAGACUGACGCUCAGGUGCGAAAGCGUGGGGAGCAAACAGGAUUAGAUACCCUGGUAGUCCACGCCGUAAACGAUGUCUACUUGGAGGUUGUGCCCUUGAGGCGUGGCUUCCGGAGCUAACGCGUUAAGUAGACCGCCUGGGGAGUACGGCCGCAAGGUUAAAACUCAAAUGAAUUGACGGGGGCCCGCACAAGCGGUGGAGCAUGUGGUUUAAUUCGAUGCAACGCGAAGAACCUUACCUGGUCUUGACAUCCACAGAACUUUCCAGAGAUGGAUUGGUGCCUUCGGGAACUGUGAGACAGGUGCUGCAUGGCUGUCGUCAGCUCGUGUUGUGAAAUGUUGGGUUAAGUCCCGCAACGAGCGCAACCCUUAUCCUUUGUUGCCAGCGGUCCGGCCGGGAACUCAAAGGAGACUGCCAGUGAUAAACUGGAGGAAGGUGGGGAUGACGUCAAGUCAUCAUGGCCCUUACGACCAGGGCUACACACGUGCUACAAUGGCGCAUACAAAGAGAAGCGACCUCGCGAGAGCAAGCGGACCUCAUAAAGUGCGUCGUAGUCCGGAUUGGAGUCUGCAACUCGACUCCAUGAAGUCGGAAUCGCUAGUAAUCGUGGAUCAGAAUGCCACGGUGAAUACGUUCCCGGGCCUUGUACACACCGCCCGUCACACCAUGGGAGUGGGUUGCAAAAGAAGUAGGUAGCUUAACCUUCGGGAGGGCGCUUACCACUUUGUGAUUCAUGACUGGGGUGAAGUCGUAACAAGGUAACCGUAGGGGAACCUGC